GCGGUGGGGAGUGGGGGUUACACGGGGGGGCGGCGGGGACAGAGGCAGUGAAGGGCCGGUGGGAAAGGCGGGGCGGGCUUGAAUGGCGGCGUCCGGGGGCUCAGGGGCUGCUGCAGACCCACCGUCCUGGCCUGUGGAGCCCGCGCGGCCGUGGGACGCAGGAGGGUGGCGGCCCGCGUGGGGCAGCGCCUGAGGCUGGCGCGGGGCCUGGGACCGAAGCCUCCGGGUCGGGCGGGCGCUGGCAGAAAGUGACUCAUGCGGAGUUUCACGCCAGCCCAGGGGCCCAGCGAGUCCGCACCCACCGCUUUCAGCUGCCGCCCAUGCGGGUCCCGGAGGAGGUGCCGGGAGGGGGUCUCGGACGUUGAAGCUGAAUCCACCACGCGGUGCCCGCGGGCCCGUGAGUGACAUCACCGCGACGCUGCGCCUGGACCGAGAAUCCCCACGCCGGGCACCACCUCUGAAGGCUGGAGGUCAUAGGUCAAAGCCAAGAACAGAAGCUGCGGUGGGGCACACAGCUGAAAAGAGGAACCUGAGCAUCCAGGCGGCCACCAGCAGGGGCCUCUUCAGGCCACAACAAUGCUCCCCUUCGGGGUCCCCGGAAGAGUCACCCAGGGGUGACUCCAGCAGAGGUCCUCUCUGCCUGCGGUCCGGGAAGACCAGAGCUUCCUGAGCGGAGCAGGUCAGCGUCUCCUCCUCGGCGGAAGACAGAAAGACCAGGUCCACCCAAGACUGCAAGCUCCGGCCUCGGGGCAGCAGGGCCUGUGAGGGCCGAGGGUGGACUGAGCCAGGCCUGACCAUCAGCAGCUCGUCCCCCACCUCGGGUCCCCACGAGCACCCCACUGUGGCCUUGGGUUUUGAUGUUUCCAACUUUUAAAGAGAAGUUUGAAAUCUGUAAUUCUUAUGUGAAACCCUGUUCUUUACUAAUUAAAGACUUAGAAUUAGCUAGUUAAAAUUAAUUAAAAUUGAUUAAAUUUGUACUAAUAAAAGCUAACUGAAUUCUUCUCAAAA